rnacentral:lncRNA from 1 species
AUGUUCAAGCUGGUUUUAGAAAAGGCAGAGGAACCAGAGAUCAAAUUGCCAACAUCCGCUGGAUCAUCGAAAAAGCAAGAGUUCCAGAAAAACAUCUAUUUCUGCUUUAUUGACUAUGCCAAAGCCUUUGACUGUGUGGAUCACAAUAAACUGUGGAAAAUUCUGAAAGAGAUGGGAAUACCAGACCACUUGACCUGCCUUCUGAGAAACCUAUGUGCAGGUCAGGAAGCAACAGUUAGAACUGGACAUGGAACAACAGACUGGUUCCAAAUAGGAAAAGGAGUACGUCAGGGCUGUAUAUUGUCACCCUGCUUAUUGAACUUAUAUGCAGAGUACAUCAUGAGAAAUGCUGGGCUGGAAGAAGCACAAGCUGGAAUCAAGAUUGCUGGGAGAAAUCUCAAUCACCUCAGAUAUGCAGAUGACACCACCCUUAUGGCAGAAAGUGAAGAGGAACUAAUAAGCCUCUUGAUGAAAGUGAAAGAGGAGAGUAAAAAUGUUGGCUUAAAGCUCAGCAUUCAGAAAACGAAGAUCAUGGCAUCUGGUCCCAUCACUUUAUGGGAAAUAGAUGGUGAAACAGUGGAAACAGUGGCUGACUUUAUUUUUUGGGGCUCCAAAAUCACUACACAUGGUGAUUGCAGCCAUGAAAUUAAAAGACGCUUACUCCUUGGAAGAAAAGUUAUGACCAACCUAGAUAGCAUAUUGAAAAGCAGAGAUAUUCCUUUGCCAACAAAGGUCCAUCUAGUCAAGGCUAUAGUUUCUCCAGUUGUCAUGUAUGGAUGUGAGAGCUGGACUGUGAAGAAAGCUGAGUGCCGAAGAAUUGAUGCUUUUGAACUGUGGUGUUGGAGAAGACUCUUGAGAGUCCCUUGGACUGCAAGGAGAUCCAACCAGUCCAUUCUAAAGGAGAUCAGUCCUGGGUGUUCUUUGGAAGGACUGAUGCUGAAGCUGAAACUGCAGUACUUUGGCCACCUCAUGCGAAGAGUUGACUCGUUGGAAAAGACCCUGAUGCUGGGAAGGAUUGGGGGCAGGAGCAGAAGGGGCCAACAGAGGAUGAGAUGGCUGGAUGGCAUCACCGACUCAAUGGACGUGAGUUUGAGUGAACUCCGGGGGUUGGUGGUGGACAGGGAGGCCUGGCGUGCUGCGAUUCAUGGGUCACAAAGAGUCGGACACGACUGA